UACGUAGGGGGCAAGCGUUGUCCGGAUUUAUUGGGCGUAAAGAGCGUGUAGGCGGCCAGAUAGGUCCGUUGUGAAAACUCGAGGCUCAACCUCGAGACGCCGAUGGAAACCAUUUGGCUAGAGUCCGGAAGAGGAGAGUGGAAUUCCUGGUGUAGCGGUGAAAUGCGCAGAUAUCAGGAAGAACACCCGUGGCUAAGGCGGCUCUCUGGACGGUUUCUGACGCUAAGACGCGAAAGCGUGGGGAGCAAACAGG
rnacentral:rRNA from 1 species